GCGCCGAUGGUGUAACGCGAACAUUGCUGCCCGGAAAGCAGAGAUGCGGGUUCGAGUCCCGCCUGGCGCA
rnacentral:tRNA from 1 species